CACGUUUAAUGGGAAGGUGUGUGAUCUGGAAGGCAUCAGUGAAUGACUGGGUAAGUAUUUUAAACUAGUUUUCUCUGCCUUGUGUUAGCCUCGUAUCUUGGCCUAAAGCGGAUCCUGCCGUUGGAAGCCGUUGACAUGUUGUAAAGGUUAAUACCCUCAUCUGGAAAUUCUUGCCUUCCAGUAAGCCGUAGAACUGGUUAUAUCCCGGUCAACGUGCUGGGAAGACAGGACUUUUCUGUACAUGUUGAGGCGUGGCCUUCCAAUAUACAGUCGGGCGUAUUGAACAAACUAAUGUCACAGAGCUACCACUGUCAAUAUUGACUCCAGCCAUCAGUAGGUUGACACCAAAGAAGAGAUCCAGUCAUUCAGAGCAGCCGGUUAAUGUCAAACUUGGUGUGGGAGGCUCGAAUAAACACACCGUAACCAAGACCGUCAUCAAGAUCAGAUGCAGCCUGGUGGACAGAGUUUCGUUUCAGGAAAGGAAAGGCACUUCUAGGAAGGCAGAAGCCGAGAACAUCCUGGAUUCCUCAGGUGGCUCUUAAACGCUUAACAGCAGAACUGCAUCCGAUCAGUUCUUCCACUUUGAAGCAAAGCAGAACUGGCCCUAUCAACUCAUCAUCUCCGCCUUUCUCGACAAAUGGGGAAGGUCUUGUGUGGUUCAACCACAAGGGAGUACUCAGAAUAACAUACUCAUCGUGUCAUCACAUUUUCUGGCAACUGCAGUUAUUUCAUGUGCAUGUUGUAGCUGAUUUGACACAGGGAUUAAUGAAGACGUGUCAGAAAAGAUGUGAGAAUAUUGUGGAGUUCCUGGGGUGAAUUUUAAGUGCCGUGCCAUGAGAACUGAAUUCCAUAGAUGGUGGCAUCCCUAUGUGUCAUCUAUGGGCUCAGUUCUUUUGGCAUGGUCCUAGUUAUCAGCACACCACCACGGAAUGGAAAUUAUCCAUGAGAAAUUAUCAUUCAUGUAUGUGUGGUUUCACUUUGUCAUGUGUUUGCCAUGAAAUAUCAUCGCCUGUCUUCAAAAUCAUUAAAUUGUGAUGAAACAAUAAAAUAUUUUUUUUUUCUGUGUGAAGCAGAUGUAAAAUGUUAUGUGGCUUUUGUUGUAUAUUGUUAAUAAAGGAAAGAAGGCCA